rnacentral:rRNA from 1 species
UACGUAGGGUGCAGGCGUUAAUCGGAAUUACUGGGCGUAAAGCGUGCGCAGGCGGUCUGCUAAGCGAGAUGUGAAAUCCCCAGGCUCAACCUGGGAACUGCGUCUGAUACUGGAUGGCUUGAAUCCGGGAGAGGGAUGCAGAAUUCCAGGUGUAGCGGUGAAAUGCGUAGAUAUCUGGAGGAAUACCGGUGGCGAAGGCGGCAUCCUGGACCGGCAUUGACGCUGAGGAGCGAAAGCCAGGGGAGCAAACGGG